GGUUAGCUCAGCUGGCAGAGCGCCUGCUUUACACGCAGGAUGUCGGCGGUUCGACAGAGUUCACCC
rnacentral:tRNA from 1 species